rnacentral:lncRNA from 1 species
CACUUGUGCAAUCUCUUCGGUCGGCACACCAAAAACUAAAACUAACAACAACAACGCCGAGCAGCCGAAGUGAAGGGAGAAAGUUUUUAAUAAUUGGUAACGAAAAUGCAGUUUGAACGAGUCGCCGGCAGCUACUUUGCCACUGCGCAUUGUUGAGUUCGUGUUGCUAGUUCUGCCGUUCUGCCGUUCUGCCCUUCAAUCGUUCAGCUUAAUAGUCUGAUACUUCGUUGAAACAAAUAUCCAUCUUAGGUUAGGUGGCUGCAAGGGGAGUGCUGAAUCUGUUCGCUUGAGUGUUGUGAUUCCACCAAGUCUACUCCAACUCGUCACAUCAAUAACCCUGACAACUUUGCCAUAAGGGUUCUUCAAAGACCAUCGAACCAUUCUGGAGCUGGAUCGUGUCGUCUGGAUCAUGUUCCAAAAGAGAUGACAACACUUCGGGACUGCUUCAGGCUCCUUCUCCUCCAACGGCUUUGCUUGGGCUGCUUUCACAGUGACAUUUUCCCCGCAUAAUGUGUUUCCGUGUAGUCCAUAUUCAAACAAAGCCUGUAGCUUUUAUGUUUGAAUGUAAGUGUUAGUGGCUUUUGAUUACAGUGAUCACAACUAUUUACUUGAGAUAUCAUGGGGUAAAGUAUAAAAUUUAUUGGAUUAUAUCAGUGUACCGAAGGGUAUCAUAUUAGUCUGAUGCUCAGUAUUUCUUGUUGAAUGUGGCCAGAGAUAAUUGUAAAGAUUAUUAUUUCUUAACAUUGGCUGGGUGAGUGCCGUCUUUCUGUCUUAUCUUGCUGCCCAGGACCUCCUGUCUCUGUUGAACUUGGGGCAGAUAAAGAUUGAGUAAUAAUCUCUUUUGUUUUAAUUAUUCAAGGGGAGUUGACAAUUUUUCCUGGCAAAGACACUCAAUUUCAGAUAAAAUUGUUUAUGCUGAACAAUGGUUCAUUUAUUUAGCAACUGUAGUCCUUGUUUAGUUGGAAGCUUCUUGGUAUUUAUGGGAAACUUGAAUUUCAAACUGGUAAUGCAACCGUUUUUAAGAAUUUUUAGUGAAAGAUUGCACUCAGAGUUUGAGCAACAGUAGUAACUUAACAAGAAUAGAGGCAUGGGUUUCUUUGGUUUGUUUCCAAGAGGGCUACAUUCUGACUCAUGAUUAUUUUGAAAUGUUUGUAAGAUAGCAUUUUUAGAACAGAUUUUGUCAGUUACUUAUGGGAUUAGAAGGGGAGCAGGAAGUGUGGGUGGGGAAUGCAAGUAAAAUGUAUACUAGUGUCCUAUUUUCUGCCCAUCACCCUGCAUUAUGUUUGUUCCUUUUUUUCCCCUGUCAAAGCAACCUUUAGAAUGUUUGGUUUAGUUUGUUCGUUCAAUAUGUAUUUGUAUCUGACUUUAGGGUAUAUUUAGUAUUUGAUGUGAAUGUUAAAUUGUGGUGACAAUUCAUCUUAUUUCAGUCCUUAUGUAUUACUCCUGUUAUAUUUCUGGCUUCAAGCAAGAAUUAUUGAACUGAAUUGAAACUUAACUAGUGGGGUAGUGAGAUCCAAUCCCUCAGCAAAAUGACUUAUGUUUCUAUUUUCUCUGUGCCUUUCUUUGCUAUGCCUCUGUACUGAAGCAUUGUAUGUAUUGCUCCCUGCCUUGUUAAAGUAUAAUUUUUAUUUUGUUUUUGUCAUACACAUUGCAACACACCCUUGAUGGAGUACAUGAAGUGUCAGCAUGUAUAAAGUAAUGUGUCAAUUCCACUGCUGAGCAAGUGAGCAUAUUGAUUCUCUGGUGUACACUGCUUUGUGUCACCAGUAUUUGAGGCGUCGUAACUUGAUCUGUAUGUAGGGGUGGUGACAAAUUUUUGUAUUUGUAUUUAUUGCGGUAAAAAUUUACAUGAUUUACAUAAGUUUUUACGCAAGUCAAGAACAAAGUGCAAAGCACAGCACCACGAUUGGAAGAUAGAAAAUAUAAAGUCGCCUCAGCAGUUUCAGAGAAAGUUUUCAAAGGUCAUCCAGACUAUUCGGCUCUUUUUUGCAUGAGGAACUUUUUGAGAACAUUUUUAAAGAUUUUGGGUUUGUCUCUCAUAUCCUUAAUUUCU